rnacentral:rRNA from 1 species
GCUAAGACUGGAUAGGAAGAAAUAAGGCAUCUUUUUUCUUUUAAAAGACCUAGUGAUAGGUAUACUUUAGGAGGGGCUUGCGCCAUAUUAGUUAGUUGGUAGGGUAAUGGCCUACCAAGACGAUGAUGUGUAGCUGGACUGAGAGGUUGAACAGCCACAUUGGGACUGAGACACGGCCCAAACUCCUACGGGAGGCAGCAGUAGGGAAUUUUCGGCAAUGGAGGAAACUCUGACCGAGCAACGCCGCGUGAACGACGAAGUACUUUGGUAUGUAAAGUUCUUUUAUCAAGGAAGAAAAGCAAGUGGUGAACCAUUUGUUUGCCGGUACUUGAUGAAUAAGCCCCGGCUAAUUAUGUGCCAGCAGCCGCGGUAAGACAUAAGGGGCAAGUGUUAUCCGGAAUUAUUGGGCGUAAAGGGUGCGUAGGCGGUCUAGUAAGUCAGUGGUGUAAUGGCAACGCUCAACGUUGUCCGGCUAUUGAAACUGCUAAACUUGAGUUAGAUAGAGGCGAGUGGAAUUCCAUGUGUAGCGGUAAAAUGCGUAAAUAUAUGGAGGAACACCAGAGGCGUAGGCGGCUCGCUGGGUCUUAACUGACGCUGAGGCACGAAAGCGUGGGGAGCAAACAGGAUUAGAUACCCUGGUAGUCCACGCCGUAAACGAUGAGUACUAAGUGUCGGGUUAAACCGGUACUGAAGUUAACACAUUAAGUACUCCGCCUGAGUAGUACGUACGCAAGUAUGAAACUUAAAGGAAUUGACGGGACUCCGCACAAGCGGUGGAUCAUGUUGUUUAAUUCGAAGAUACCCGAAAAACCUUACCAGGUCUUGACAUGUUUUUGCGAAACGGUAGUAAUAUCGUGGAGGUUAUCAGAAACACAGGUGGUGCAUGGUUGUCGUCAGCUCGUGUCGUGAGAUGUUAGGUUAAGUCCUAAAACGAGCGAAACCCUUAUCGUUAGUUGCCAGCACGUUAUGGUGGGGACUUUAACGAGACUGCCAGUGAUAAAUUGGAGGAAGGUGAGGAUCACGUCAAAUCAGCAUGCCCCUUAUGACCUGGGCUACAAACGUGAUACAAUGGCUGUUACAAAGGGUAGCUGAAACGCCAAGUUCUUGGCCAAUCCCCAAAAACAGUCUCAGUCCGGAUUGAAGUCUGCAACUCGACUUCAUGAAGUUGGAAUCGCUAGUAAUCGCGAAUCAGCAUGUCGCGGUGAAUACGUUCUCGGGGUUUGUACACACCGCCCGUCA